UUGAAUUAACCAAUUUAGUUCAUUGGACUCGCCCGUGAUCAGUCCGCAACUCAUUGUUGUGGGCUAACGUUGAACCACCAACUAAUUUUAGUGGACUUGGGAUAGUUUUAAGGGGGAGAUUUGCACAAAUAGGAUAACUUGAGGCAGAAAAACUCAUUUGGUCAUAGUGACCUAAAUAUUGUAAUAAUGUCUAUUCUCACUAUAAAUGGUUUUUUCUUUUACAUCUCAAAUUUAAAACAUUUUCACCAAUUUUAUUUUCAAUACCCGGGAAAGGUAUAAUUUCUGUAUUUCAAGUACUCCCAUAGAAUUACAUACAUGAGGAUACGAAUAAUUCCCAGAUUUCAAUAAUUUCAUGAUUUACAUAAGGAGAAAGAACGGACUGAUUGACUCUUUUUUAACUAUAUAAGUAUGCCCACGGGCCCAAUAUGAAGG
rnacentral:lncRNA from 1 species